GGUUAAGCGACUAAGCGUACACGGUGGAUGCCCUGGCAGUCAGAGGCGAUGAAGGACGUGCUAAUCUGCGAUAAGCGUCGGUAAGGUGAUAUGAACCGUUAUAACCGGCGAUUUCCGAAUGGGGAAACCCAGUGUGAUUCGUCACACUAUCAUUAACUGAAUCCAUAGGUUAAUGAGGCGAACCGGGGGAACUGAAACAUCUAAGUACCCCGAGGAAAAGAAAUCAACCGAGAUUCCCCCAGUAGCGGCGAGCGAACGGGGAGCAGCCCAGAGCCUGAAUCAGUGUGUGUGUUAGUGGAAGCGUCUGGAAAGGCGCGCGAUACAGGGUGACAGCCCCGUACACAAAAAUGCACAUGCUGUGAGCUCGAUGAGUAGGGCGGGACACGUGGUAUCCUGUCUGAAUAUGGGGGGACCAUCCUCCAAGGCUAAAUACUCCUGACUGACCGAUAGUGAACCAGUACCGUGAGGGAAAGGCGAAAAGAACCCCGGCGAGGGGAGUGAAAAAGAACCUGAAACCGUGUACGUACAAGCAGUGGGAGCACGCUUAGGCGUGUGACUGCGUACCUUUUGUAUAAUGGGUCAGCGACUUAUAUUCUGUAGCAAGGUUAACCGAAUAGGGGAGCCGAAGGGAAACCGAGUCUUAACUGGGCGUUAAGUUGCAGGGUAUAGACCCGAAACCCGGUGAUCUAGCCAUGGGCAGGUUGAAGGUUGGGUAACACUAACUGGAGGACCGAACCGACUAAUGUUGAAAAAUUAGCGGAUGACUUGUGGCUGGGGGUGAAAGGCCAAUCAAACCGGGAGAUAGCUGGUUCUCCCCGAAAGCUAUUUAGGUAGCGCCUCGUGAAUUCAUCUCCGGGGGUAGAGCACUGUUUCGGCAAGGGGGUCAUCCCGACUUACCAACCCGAUGCAAACUGCGAAUACCGGAGAAUGUUAUCACGGGAGACACACGGCGGGUGCUAACGUCCGUCGUGAAGAGGGAAACAACCCAGACCGCCAGCUAAGGUCCCAAAGUCAUGGUUAAGUGGGAAACGAUGUGGGAAGGCCCAGACAGCCAGGAUGUUGGCUUAGAAGCAGCCAUCAUUUAAAGAAAGCGUAAUAGCUCACUGGUCGAGUCGGCCUGCGCGGAAGAUGUAACGGGGCUAAACCAUGCACCGAAGCUGCGGCAGCGACGCUGAUGCGUUGUUGGGUAGGGGAGCGUUCUGUAAGCCUGUGAAGGUGUGCUGUGAGGCAUGCUGGAGGUAUCAGAAGUGCGAAUGCUGACAUAAGUAACGAUAAAGCGGGUGAAAAGCCCGCUCGCCGGAAGACCAAGGGUUCCUGUCCAACGUUAAUCGGGGCAGGGUGAGUCGACCCCUAAGGCGAGGCCGAAAGGCGUAGUCGAUGGGAAACAGGUUAAUAUUCCUGUACUUGGUGUUACUGCGAAGGGGGGACGGAGAAGGCUAUGUUGGCCGGGCGACGGUUGUCCCGGUUUAAGCGUGUAGGCUGGUUUUCCAGGCAAAUCCGGAAAAUCAAGGCUGAGGCGUGAUGACGAGGCACUACGGUGCUGAAGCAACAAAUGCCCUGCUUCCAGGAAAAGCCUCUAAGCAUCAGGUAACAUCAAAUCGUACCCCAAACCGACACAGGUGGUCAGGUAGAGAAUACCAAGGCGCUUGAGAGAACUCGGGUGAAGGAACUAGGCAAAAUGGUGCCGUAACUUCGGGAGAAGGCACGCUGAUAUGUAGGUGAAGUCCCUCGCGGAUGGAGCUGAAAUCAGUCGAAGAUACCAGCUGGCUGCAACUGUUUAUUAAAAACACAGCACUGUGCAAACACGAAAGUGGACGUAUACGGUGUGACGCCUGCCCGGUGCCGGAAGGUUAAUUGAUGGGGUUAGCGCAAGCGAAGCUCUUGAUCGAAGCCCCGGUAAACGGCGGCCGUAACUAUAACGGUCCUAAGGUAGCGAAAUUCCUUGUCGGGUAAGUUCCGACCUGCACGAAUGGCGUAAUGAUGGCAGGCUGUCUCCACCCGAGACUCAGUGAAAUUGAACUCGCUGUGAAGAUGCAGUGUACCCGCGGCAAGACGGAAAGACCCCGUGAACCUUUACUAUAGCUUGACACUGAACAUUGAGCCUUGAUGUGUAGGAUAGGUGGGAGGCUUUGAAGUGUGGACGCCAGUCUGCAUGGAGCCGACCUUGAAAUACCACCCUUUAAUGUUUGAUGUUCUAACGUUGACCCGUAAUCCGGGUUGCGGACAGUGUCUGGUGGGUAGUUUGACUGGGGCGGUCUCCUCCUAAAGAGUAACGGAGGAGCACGAAGGUUGGCUAAUCUGGUCGGACAUCAGGAGGUUAGUGCAAUGGCAUAAGCCAGCUUGACUGCGAGCGUGACGGCGCGAGCAGGUGCGAAAGCAGGUCAUAGUGAUCCGGUGGUUCUGAAUGGAAGGGCCAUCGCUCAACGGAUAAAAGGUACUCCGGGGAUAACAGGCUGAUACCGCCCAAGAGUUCAUAUCGACGGCGGUGUUUGGCACCUCGAUGUCGGCUCAUCACAUCCUGGGGCUGAAGUAGGUCCCAAGGGUAUGGCUGUUCGCCAUUUAAAGUGGUACGCGAGCUGGGUUUAGAACGUCGUGAGACAGUUCGGUCCCUAUCUGCCGUGGGCGCUGGAGAACUGAGGGGGGCUGCUCCUAGUACGAGAGGACCGGAGUGGACGCAUCACUGGUGUUCGGGUUGUCAUGCCAAUGGCACUGCCCGGUAGCUAAAUGCGGAAGAGAUAAGUGCUGAAAGCAUCUAAGCACGAAACUUGCCCCGAGAUGAGUUCUCCCUGACUCCUUGAGAGUCCUGAAGGAACGUUGAAGACGACGACGUUGAUAGGCCGGGUGUGUAAGCGCAGCGAUGCGUUGAGCUAACCGGUACUAAUGAACCGUGAGGCUUAACCUU
rnacentral:rRNA from 1 species